rnacentral:rRNA from 1 species
CCUACGGGCGGCAGCAGUGAGGAAUAUUGGUCAAUGGGCUUACGCCUGAACCAGCCAAGUCGCGUGAGGGAAGACUGCCCUAUGGGGUGUAAACCUCUUUUGUCAGGGAGCAAGUGGCGCUACGUGUAGCGUGAUCGAGAGUACCUGAAGAAAAAGCAGAGGCUAACUCCGUGCCAGCAGCCGCGGUAAUACGGAGGAUGCGAGCGUUCUCCGGAUUUAUUGGGUUUAAAGGGUGCGUAGGCGGAAUGCCAAGUCAGCGGUAAACUCGCGGGGCUCAACCUCGCUCCGCCGUUGAAACUGGCGUUCUUGCGUGGGCGAGACGUCUGCGGACUGCGUG